rnacentral:tRNA from 4 species
GGCCCCAUGGUCAAGUGGUUAAGACAUCGCCCUUUCACGGCGGUAACCCGGGUUCGAGUCCCGGUGGGGUCACCA